rnacentral:rRNA from 1 species
AGAGUUUGAUCAUGGCUCAGAAUGAACGCUGGCGGCAUGCCUAACACAUGCAAGUCGAACGAAGAAUGUUUACAUUCUUAGUGGCAAACGGGUGAGUAACGCGUGAGAAUCUGCCUUUCGGUGGGGGAUAACUAAGGGAAACUUUAGCUAAUACCGCAUAAGCUUAGCAAUAAGGAAAAAUUUAUUGCCGAAAGAUGAGCUCGCGUCAGAUUAGGUAGUUGGUAAGGUAAUGGCUUACCAAGCCUGUGAUCUGUAGCUGGUCUGAGAGGAUGAUCAGCCACACUGGGAUUGAGAUACGGCCCAGACUCCUACGGGAGGCAGCAGUGAGGAAUAUUGGACAAUGGGGGAAACCCUGAUCCAGCAAUGUCGCGUGAGUGAAGAAGGCCUUUGGGUCGUAAAGCUCUUUUACUCGUGAAGAUGAUGACGGUAGCGAGAGAAAAAGUUCCGGCUAACUCUGUGCCAGCAGCCGCGGUAAGACAGAGGGAACUAGCGUUGUUCGGAUUGAUUGGGCGUAAAGGGUGCGUAGGUGGUUACCUAAGUAAGACGUUAAAGCCCAGGGCUUAACCCUGGAAUCGCGUUUUAAACUGGGCAACUAGAGUGUGGUAGAGAAAAAUGGAAUUCCUAGUGUAGAGGUGAAAUUCGUAGAUAUUAGGAGGAACACCGGAGGCGAAGGCGAUUUUUUGGACCAUUACUGACACUGAGGCACGAAAGCGUGGGGAGCAAACAGGAUUAGAUACCCUGGUAGUCCACGCCC